UACGAAGGGGGCUAGCGUUGCUCGGAAUCACUGGGCGUAAAGGGUGCGUAGGCGGGUCUUUAAGUCAGGGGUGAAAUCCUGGAGCUCAACUCCAGAACUGCCUUUGAUACUGAAGAUCUUGAGUUCGGGAGAGGUGAGUGGAACUGCGAGUGUAGAGGUGAAAUGCGUAGAUAUCCGGAGGAACACCGGUGGCGAAGGCGGCUUCCUGGACCGACACUGACGCUGAUGCGCGAAAGCUAGGGGAGCAAAACGGGG
rnacentral:rRNA from 1 species